GAGUGCACCGCGCGUCGUCUCGUCCAGAAACCCCACCACAAAGCCAUUAUGGCAUUAAAAUUCACGAUUCCUGUGCCUAAUUUAACGUUUAAAAAGAGAAAAAGCAAAAAAAAUACGUUUCACGAAAAUAGGAUUUCAGUUUUCGAAUGUUCUCCUUUGUCCGCCGCCAUUUUGGAUCCGCGAUUUCGAGACUGCAAGAUAAAAGCGACUAUUAGAAGACAACAACGACGUCUGAGGGAGCAAUGAUAAUUUUCUAAAAAUUGGAGAACAAGUG